rnacentral:rRNA from 1 species
AGCUAACGCGAUAAGUAGACCGCCUGGGGAGUACGGUCGCAAGACUAAAACUCAAAUGAAUUGACGGGGGCCCGCACAAGCGGUGGAGCAUGUGGUUUAAUUCGAUGCAACGCGAAGAACCUUACCUGGCCUUGACAUACUAAGAACUUUCCAGAGAUGGAUUGGUGCCUUCGGGAACUUAGAUACAGGUGCUGCAUGGCUGUCGUCAGCUCGUGUCGUGAGAUGUUGGGUUAAGUCCCGCAACGAGCGCAACCCUUUUCCUUAUUCGCCAGCGGGUAAUGCCGGGAACCUUAAGGAUACUGCCAGUGACAAACUGGAGGAAGGCGGGGACGACGUCAAGUCAUCAUGGCCCUUACGGCCAGGGCUACACACGUGCUACAAUGGUCGGUACAAAGGGUUGCUACCUCGCGAGAGGAUGCUAAUCUCAAAAAGCCGAUCGUAGUCCGGAUCGCAGUCUGCAACUCGACUGCGUGAAGUCGGAAUCGCUAGUAAUCGCGGAUCAGAAUGCCGCGGUGAAUACGUUCCCGGGCCUUGUACACACCGCCCGUCACACCAUGGGAGUUUGUUGCACCAGAAGUAGGUAGUCUAACCGCAAGGAGG